CCGAGCUGUGGAGUGUGACAAUGGUGUUUGUGUCCUGGCUAUCAAACGCCAUUAUCACACUAAAUAGCUACUGG
rnacentral:pre_miRNA from 18 species